GACGAACGCUGGCGGCGUGCCUAAUACAUGCAAGUAGAACGCUGAAGGAGGAGCUUGCUUCUCUGGAUGAGUUGCGAACGGGUGAGUAACGCGUAGGUAACCUGCCUGGUAGCGGGGGAUAACUAUUGGAAACGAUAGCUAAUACCGCAUAACAGUAGAUGUUGCAUGACAUUUGCUUAAAAGGUGCAAUUGCAUCACUACCAGAUGGACCUGCGUUGUAUUAGCUAGUUGGUGGGGUAACGGCUCACCAAGGCGACGAUACAUAGCCGACCUGAGAGGGUGAUCGGCCACACUGGGACUGAGACACGGCCCAGACUCCUACGGGAGGCAGCAGUAGGGAAUCUUCGGCAAUGGACGGAAGUCUGACCGAGCAACGCCGCGUGAGUGAAGAAGGUUUUCGGAUCGUAAAGCUCUGUUGUAAGAGAAGAACGAGUGUGAGAGUGGAAAGUUCACACUGUGACGGUAUCUUACCAGAAAGGGACGGCUAACUACGUGCCAGCAGCCGCGGUAAUACGUAGGUCCCGAGCGUUGUCCGGAUUUAUUGGGCGUAAAGCGAGCGCAGACGGUUAGAUAAGUCUGAAGUUAAAGGCUGUGGCUUAACCAUAGUACGCUUUGGAAACUGUUUAACUUGAGUGCAAGAGGGGAGAGUGGAAUUCCAUGUGUAGCGGUGAAAUGCGUAGAUAUAUGGAGGAACACCGGUGGCGAAAGCGGCUCUCUGGCUUGUAACUGACGCUGAGGCUCGAAAGCGUGGGGAGCAAACAGG
rnacentral:rRNA from 1 species